rnacentral:rRNA from 1 species
GAUGAACGCUGGCGGCGUGCCUAAUACAUGCAAGUCGAGCGAACAGACGAGGAGCUUGCUCCUCUUACGUUAGCGGCGGACGUGUGAGUAACACGUGGAUAACCUACCUAUAAGACUGGGAUAACUUCGGGAAACCGGAGCUAAUACCGGAUAAUAUAUUGAACCGCAUGGUUCAAUAGUGAAAGACGGUUUUGCUGUCACUUAUAGAUGGAUCCGCGCCGCAUUAGCUAGUUGGUAAGGUAACGGCUUACCAAGGCAACGAUGCGUAGCCGACCUGAGAGGGUGAUCGGCCACACUGGAACUGAGACACGGUCCAGACUCCUACGGGAGGCAGCAGUAGGGAAUCUUACGCAAUGGGCGAAAGCCUGACGGAGCAACGCCGCGUGAGUGAUGAAGGUCUUCGGAUCGUAAAACUCUGUUAUUAGGGAAGAACAAAUGUGUAAGUAACUAUGCACGUCUUGACGGUACCUAAUCAGAAAGCCACGGCUAACUACGUG